rnacentral:rRNA from 1 species
GACGAACGCUGGCGGCGUGCUUAACACAUGCAAGUCGAACGGAAAGGCCCCCUUGUGGGGUACUCGAGUGGCGAACGGGUGAGUAACACGUGAGUAACCUACCCUUGACUUUGGGAUAACUUCAGGAAACUGGGGCUAAUACCGGAUAGGAGCUCCUGCUGCAUGGUGGGGGUUGGAAAGUUUCGGCGGUUGGGGAUGGACUCGCGGCUUAUCAGCUUGUUGGUGGGGUAGUGGCUCACCAAGGCUUUGACGGGUAGCCGGCCUGAGAGGGUGACCGGCCCCAUUGGGACUGAGAUGCGGCCCAGACUCCUACGGGAGGCAGCAGUGGGGAAUAUUGCACAAUGGGCGGACGCCUGAUGCAGCAACGCCGCGUGCGGGAGGACGGCCUUCGGGUUGUAAACCGCUUUCGCCUGUGACGAAGCGUGAGUGACGGUAAUGGGUAAAGAAGCACCGGCUAACUACGU